rnacentral:lncRNA from 1 species
AUAUCGGUUACAAAUAUAAAACCCCAAACUAAUAGGAUCCAAACUUCCAUGUCCUCAAUUCAGAGGAAAAAAACAUCACGAUUGAGCCAAAAAAAACACUUUCAAUUAAUUGUGUUUUACUUGGUUGAUCCAAGCUACACGUACAAGGAGCAAUCCUGACCCAACCUACACGUACACAAAUCACGUUGUUAUGGAGUCCAUGAAAAUAUAUAUUUCCUAAAAAUUAGGUCCUUCAUCACUACGAUUGCUCCAUCCUAACUAAAUUUCAAGAUCCUGGGCUGCUACAUUAGCGUACAUCACCUGUUCCUCAAUAUCACGUGAAUAAUCUCAUGAGCAGCCCCUCUCACCGGCGGGCUCCCAUUGACCGAAAUUGCUGCCGCCGUCCUCUCGCCUUCAUCCAUCCAUUGCUACCAUCCUUCAUCUUGCCUCCCUCGCCGCAAGCCAACAUGCCGGGCGUUCUUCUCCUCGGCGUAGAUUGAGGCAUCGGUUUCCUCUCGACAGGUGCAUGUAUGCAUGUAAUGCGCUUCAGCAGUCAUCGUUUCUUCUCUCAUCCAGCGCACCAGGUAGGGUUAUCUAAGCUCUAUCUCCACUCUAGCACUACCGAUCAUUAGGCACUCCUUUCCCUUUUGUACAACAUCAAGACAUAUUGUACGUUAAAGGUACUUUAUUGGUGGCAUCAAGUGGUUUACGUAGAUCUGGGAGUAGUAUUUCCUCGCAAUUUCAGUUGAAGUACUCCUUUGGCUUCGAUAUAAUCGGCUGUUAUUUGUGCUGGUAAUUUGAGUUCCAAAUCACUUCUUUUGUUUUCAUGCCAGCGACAUGUUUAGAUGGUGGCUUCAUCCGUAAGAAUUCUUCUUCUUUUUAGGCAAAAUUUCAUGAGUUAGAAUUCAGUAAUUGUGUUCUGUAUUUGAUUCAUUCAUGAUUUCGCUUGCAGGUUAAAUUAUCCAGGCACGAAUUUAAUGGUUUUUUGUGUCCGGUUCCUUCAAACAAUGGAGGGUUGUCAAACAUUUUAAGUAGUAUAGCUGAUGGCCAUCCGUAAGAAUUCUUCUUUUUAGGCAAAAUUUCAUCAGUUAGAAUUUAGUAAUUGUGUUUUGUAUUUGAUUCAUUCAUGAUUUCGUUUUUGGAAUUGCAAAGCACUUUGCCUAUUACGAAGUCCAAAUUAGACUAAUAUUUAGUAACUGAUGAUUACUCUAUUUACAGAUUGUAAACCACGUUUCCACUGCAAGGAAGAACUCCAUUUGCUGCCAAGGAGAAAUUGGUAAAAAUAUCUUAAUUAACUUGGCAGGAAGAAACGUAGCAUGACAGGGCUUGCUUGUUGUUGCCGAGAAAUGCGUACAAUCAAUUGAUUUACUUGCCAGGAAGAAACAGUCUGUGGCGGGUGAUUUAAACCUUUAAGCCUUAUAUGACCUAAUUGGAUCUCGCUAUAAAAGUCUAAAUAGAUGUAGAAGAAUGGAUGGGGAGCUCUCAAGUCGAAUGCCAAUCAUGUUUUUGCUAUUAUAUACAUUCGAAUCAUACAUCCAGUUGGGAAAUAUGUUGUAAUCUAAGUUCUUAUAUGUACAUCAGUCCAUGUGAUCAAGGAUAUCAUCAUGUACUGCAACUUCAAGGCUUCUUUAAUUUUUGUAAACUCGCCAAUGUAUCAUAGUGGUGCAAAAAUAAGUCUUCUAUCUUCGUUUAAGAAAAUCUCCAGAAAGGAUGUAUACUUGCCGGAUCAGAAAAGCAAGUCCCAAAAGGACCGAUUUUAGAGACCAUGUGAUUAUACGAUUAUGUGUAUGAAAGUAUUAUAUCAUUUUUCUUAACAUGUCUUCAUUUAUAUAUAACUC